rnacentral:rRNA from 1 species
AGCGGCGGAUGGGUGAGUAACACGUGGGGAACCUGCCCCUAAGUCUGGGAUACCAUUUGGAAACAGGUGCUAAUACCGGAUAAUAAAGCAGAUCGCAUGAUCAGCUUUUGAAAGGCGGCGUAAGCUGUCGCUAAGGGAUGGCCCCGCGGUGCAUUAGCUAGUUGGUAAGGUAACGGCUUACCAAGGCGACGAUGCAUAGCCGAGUUGAGAGACUGAUCGGCCGCAUUGGGACUGAGACACGGCCCAAACUCCUACGGGAGGCAGCAGUAGGGAAUCUUCCACAAUGGACGCAAGUCUGAUGGAGCAACGCCGCGUGAGUGAAGAAGGUUUUCGGAUCGUAAAGCUCUGUUGUUGGUGAAGAAGGAUAGAGGUAGUAACCGGCCUUUAUUUGACGGUAAUCAACCAGAAAGUCACGGCUAACUACGUGCCAGCAGCCGCGGUAAUACGUAGGUGGCAAGCGUUGUCCGGAUUUAUUGGGCGUAAAGCGAGCGCAGGCGGAAAAAUAAGUCUAAUGUGAAAGCCCUCGGCUUAACCGAGGAACUGCAUCGGAAACUGUUUUUCUUGAGUGCAGAAGAGGAGAGUGGAACUCCAUGUGUAGCGGUGGAAUGCGUAGAUAUAUGGAAGAACACCAGUGGCGAAGGCGGCUCUCUGGUCUGCAACUGACGCUGAGGCUCGAAAGCAUGGGUAGCGAACAGGAUUAGAUACCCUGGUAGUCCAUGCCGUAAACGAUGAGUGCUAAGUGU